AUAGACUGAAUAAAGGUGUGUUAUCAGAGAUGAGAGGGCCAAACAAACUAGAGGCUAUAACAAUCAUAAAAAUCUAUGAAACUCCAGAGAGCCCCCCCACCCCCACCCCGGCCUAAAGCAAAUGCUCAGGGAACUCCCCUGGGUUUGAAACUUGCAGUGACAGGUGUGAACAUUCUAGUAGUAGUUUGAUGAUCAUGUAGGAACUGUAAACAGGG